rnacentral:lncRNA from 1 species
ACCUCAGCCUCCCAAAGUGCUGGGAUUACAGGCAUGAGGCACCACAUUCGGCCAAAGUUCUAUGUCUGGUCACAGCCAUUUACAUUCAUCAGAAUUCACAGAACCAUCCAUCCUGAAGUGGUGAAUUUGCUGAAUAGAAAUUAUACCUCAAAGACCAGACGUUCAAAAAUGCCUUUGUGUUUUGUAAGCUUCAACACUCGCCCAGUGGGAACCACAAAAGCGUUGCCCAAUUUGUUGAAAGCAUUGCUGUUAUAACUUCAGCGUGUGGGGAGAAGUUAUGUUUUCAUACUGUCUUUGUCUGCUCUGGCCACCGUUACAAAACACCAUAGACUGGGUGGACUGAUCAACACGCAUUUCUUUCCCACAGUGGAGGCUGGAAGUCCCCAAGACCCAGGUUCCUGGGGAGGGCUUUCUUCCUAGCCUGCAGGUGACCAACAUCUGCUGUGUCCUCUUGUGACUCUUCCUCAGUUCCUGUGCCAGAGGGGUCGGGGGACAAGUGGGCGUCCAUCUUGUAAGUGUCCUCAUAAGGCCACCAUCCUGUCAACCAGGGCACCACCCUAUACCUUAGUUAACCUUAAUGACUUCCUUGGUGGCCCCCCGUCCCGUUGCAGCCAGGGUUAAGCUUCAGCGUGCAAAGUGAAAGGCCACACAAAUCUUUGUCCGUAACAAAUGCCCCGUGGACAGGACACUCCGGUGCCCUGAGGCUGCAGGAGCUGAGGGUGAUCUUGCUCAGGUACUUCUGGUGGUACCUGCUGUAUGGGGAAGAAGUCUGUUCCUCCUGGCUGGUGUCAGAAGUAACCAGGCUGAAGCCAUGCUCUGAAAGAACCUGUGCAGGGAGAGAAAGACCUGUUUGAGACCGACCUGAAAGCUCUCGCAGGGGAAAGAACAGCCUCUUUAGGUGCUUCCAUGAAAGGUGAUUAAUGGGGAAGGACU